GGAGGAAAAGAAACUAACAAGGAUUCCCCUAGUAACUGCGAGUGAAGCGGGAAAAGCUCAAAUUUAAAAUCUGGCGGUCUUUCGGCUGUCCGAGUUGUAAUCUAGAGAAGUGUUAUCCGCGCUGGACCGUGUACAAGUCUCCUGGAAUGGAGCAUCAUAGAGGGUGAGAAUCCCGUCUUUGACAUGGACUGCCCAGGGCUUUGUGAUGCGCUCUCAAAGAGUCGAGUUGUUUGGGAAUGCAGCUCAAAAUGGGUGGUAAAUUCCAUCUAAAGCUAAAUAUUGGCGAGAGACCGAUAGCGAACAAGUACCGUGAGGGAAAGAUGAAAAGAACUUUGGAAAGAGAGUUAAACAGUACGUGAAAUUGCUGAAAGGGAAACGCUUGAAGUCAGUCGCGUCGUCCAGGGAUCAACCUUGCUUUUGCUUGGUGCACUUUCUGGUUCGAUGGGUCAGCAUCAAUUUUGACUGUUGGAAAAAGGUUGAGGGAAUGUGGCAUCUUUGGAUGUGUUUAUAGCCCUUGGUCACAUACAAUGGUUGGGAUUGAGGAACUCAGCACGCCGCAAGGCCGGGUUUUAAACCACGUACGUGCUUAGGAUGCUGGCAAUAUGGCUUUAAUCGACCCGUCUUGAAACACGGACCAAGGAGUCUAACAUGCCUGCGAGUGUUUGGGUGGAAAACCCGAGCGCGUAAUGAAAGUGAAAAGUUGAGAUCCCUGUCGUGGGGAGCAUCGACGCCCGGACCAGACCUUUUGUGACGGUUCCGCGGUAGAGCAUGUAUGUUGGGACCCGAAAGAUGGUGAACUAUGCCUGAAUAGGGUGAAUCCAGAGGAAACUCUGGUGGAGGCUCGUAGCGAUUCUGACGUGCAAAUCGAUCGUCAAAUUUGGGUAUAGGGGCGAAAGACUAAUC
rnacentral:rRNA from 1 species